AAGUCGUAACAAGGUAACCGUAGGUGAACCUGCGGUUGGAUCAUUAAACAAACCCAAGGUGCCGGGGGUACGAUAUGGGGGCCAAAAGGGCGCUUGCAACUCAAGUCGUCCUCCCCGUCGGCUCUCGGAUUACCAACCACAUCUUGUGAACCCUCAAACCCGUCCGGCGGGGGAGGGAUGGGAGGCUCUCCGGAGUCUCCGAUUCCUCCGUCAGCGUUAGGCAGCCUCCGGCUGUCCUUCGCCGUGGACAACCCGCCCACCCAACCCUUCCAGCCUUCGUGUUGAAGGGGUUGUUUUGCCCAACUUUUUGGAUCUUUAACGAUUGUGAAUUGUAUCUGAGAAUGCGACGGUGCAAUUGCGCCGUCUUUUUGGAAACAAACAUUCAAAAACAACUUUUGGCAACGGAUCUCUUGGCUCUC
rnacentral:misc_RNA from 1 species